UGAUAAUCUUGAGGGUAAAUGUUGCCGGA
rnacentral:sRNA from 1 species